GACGAACGCUGGCGGCGUGCUUAACACAUGCAAGUCGAACGGAAAGGCCUGCUUUCCCUCGUGGAUUGCGGGUACUCGAGUGGCGAACGGGUGAGUAACACGUGAGUGAUCUGCCCCCAACUUGGGUAUAAGCCUGGGAAACUGGGUCUAAUUCCCGAUAGGACUGCAGGGUGGUGCCUGUGGUGGAAAACGAUUUUCUAGUGGUUGGGGAUGAGCUCGCGGCCUAUCAGCUUGUUGGUGGGGUAAUGGCCUACUAAGGCGGCGACGGGUAGCCGGCCUGAGAGGGUGGACGGCCACAUUGGGACUGAGAUACGGCCCAGACUCCUACGGGAGGCAGCAGUGGGGAAUAUUGCACAAUGGGCGGAAGCCUGAUGCAGCGACGCCGCGUGGGGGAUGACGGCCUUCGGGUUGUAAACUCCUUUCGACCGCGAGGAAGCCACCUGGUUGGAAGGGUGGUGACGGUAGUGGUAGAAGAAGCACCGGCUAACUACGUG
rnacentral:rRNA from 1 species